GUACAUACUUAAGAGCUUUAUUCAAAGUAACAUUCUAUUUUACUUUUACUUUCAAAUCCUAAGCUUGAAUUAAAUUUAUUUUCUUAAAAGAAAUGUAAUUCACUUCAUACUAAAACUUUUGCUGCACCAUGACUUAAUUUAUUUUAACAAAAUAAAUUAAAGUAAUAAUUGUAAAUAAUUACUUUAAUAGUGGUAUACAAACUGAUUUAACUAAUUUUAGUAAGAUUUAGGUGUUUUAUCCAUUAAAGAGCAAAUUCCUCUGAAAAGCUUAAAGUACCGCCAUAAUUUUUUGUUUUCAUACUGUUACUUACUAACAAUAUUAAAUUCUUAAUAAU
rnacentral:rRNA from 1 species